AAUUUGUUUGAGAAACGAUUAUAUCUCAGUAAAAUUAUGUGGAUUCAUCUUUAUGCCCUUUAUAACCAACACAAAUAUAGUAUUGUAACUAUAACUUACUUGCUAAAGGCCAAAGUGCCAAAGGCCCUGAGGUCCGGUUCAGCAUCAAACAAUCAGAAAUGGAGAAGGCAUGUAAAUCUAUAUGUAAACACAAUGAAUGCCAGGUUGUAACCUUGUACUCUGUAUUCUCUUAAAUACAAAUCCCGAUUUCAUACCUGCUGAUCUACUUAAGUCAUAUUUAACAUAGACAACACCUAAUGACAUCAGUGCCUCUGUGUUUCAGAGGACAUUUUCACGGUGCCCCAGUCAUAAGCUUGAGUCACUGUGGCUAUAGGUCUAACGUCAUCCCCACUUCACUGCGGCUAUAGCAAUAGGUCUAACGUCAUCCCCACUUCACUGCGGCUAUAGCAAUAGGUCUAACGUCAUCCCCACUUCACUGUGGCUAUAGCAAUAGGUCUAACGUCAUCCCCACUUCACUGCGGCUUUAGCAAUAGGUCUAACGUCAUCCCCACUUCACUGCGGCUUUAGCAAUAGGUCUAACGUCAUCCCCACUUCACUGUGGCCUCCUCCGCCACACCCACACUCCAGAAUCCACCCGUGUCUGGAGCAACCGUGGAACUGGGAAACUGCGAUGGCAAUUAUGGACAAUAAAACGUACCAAGUGGUCGAGUUGUACCUGGCUAAUCUUUUCCGUAUGAAGACAAACCCCUCACACAGUGUGGGACAUUGUCUUCCUGACACUUUGCUCUUCCUCUUCAAACCUCCCCCUCAUCCUCAUGAUGUUGCCUACCUUCCCCCGCGUGGGUGAUCAAGCCCGCAUCCUCAUGGAGUGAUCUAGUCCGUCCGUCAAAUAGGGGUCCAGCCGCUCCCUUCAUUAAGUGGUCCAGCCUCCCUCUCUUGAGGUGGUCUAAGUCUCUCCCCCAUGAAGGUGUCUAGCCUCCCCCUUUCUAAUGUGUAAUAAAUACUGUGAACGUCUCCCAGGCUUUCUUCCCUGUCUGGCUCAGUUGGUGGAAUGCAGUCAGAGCCUCGGCCAUCUCUCUCCCACCCACAUUAACUCUCAUUAUCUAGGGCUAAAUAAACCCAGGAAGAGUUUGAGUGAUAAUGCAAAUCUGUAAACAGUGCAUUAAAUAAAUAGCAGUACAAUGUGUUGUCUUCC
ensembl:lncRNA